CACGGGGGUUGCGAGCGUUGUCCGGAAUUACUAGGCGUAAAGGGCAGGCAGGCGGAUCCAUAAGUUUAUCGUUUAAGGCGUCGGCUUAACCGGCGUAGGGCGGUAGAUACUGUGGAUCUGGAAUGCGGUUGGGGAAGACAGAAUUCCUGGUGUAGCGGCGAAAUGCGCAGAGAUCAGGAGGAAUACCGAAGGCGAAGGCAGUCUUCCAAGCCGUUAUUGACGCUCAACUGCGAAGGUGUGGGUAUCAAACAGGAUUAGAUACCCCCGUAGUCCCUGAG
rnacentral:rRNA from 1 species